AACGAACGCUGGCGGCAUGCCUAACACAUGCAAGUCGAACGAAGGCUUCGGCCUUAGUGGCGCACGGGUGCGUAACGCGUGGGAAUCUGCCCAAAGGUUCGGAAUAACUCGGGGAAACCCGAGCUAAUACCGGAUGAUGUCGCAAGACCAAAGAUUUAUCGCCUUUGGAUGAGCCCGCGUCGGAUUAGCUAGUUGGUGAGGUAAAGGCUCACCAAGGCGACGAUCCUUAGCUGGUCUGAGAGGAUGAUCAGCCACACUGGGACUGAGACACGGCCCAGACUCCUACGGGAGGCAGCAGUGGGGAAUAUUGGACAAUGGGCGCAAGCCUGAUCCAGCAAUGCCGCGUGAGUGAUGAAGGCCCUCGGGUCGUAAAGCUCUUUUACCCGGGAUGAUAAUGACAGUACCGGGAGAAUAAGCCCCGGCUAACUCCGUGCCAGCCGCCGCUGUAACAC
rnacentral:rRNA from 1 species